rnacentral:tRNA from 1 species
GCUUUGGUGUAUUAGUGGUAGUAUUCUUGCCUUCCAUGCAGGAGACCUGGGUUGGAUUCCUGGCCAAUGCA